rnacentral:rRNA from 1 species
CGGAACGCUCUGGAAAGUGCGGCCAUAGUGGGUGAUAGCCCCGUACGCGAAAGGAUCUUUGAAGUGAAAUCGAGUAGGACGGAGCACGAGAAACUUUGUCUGAACAUGGGGGGACCAUCCUCCAAGGCUAAAUACUACUGACUGACCGAUAGUGAACCAGUACCGUGAGGGAAAGGCGAAAAGAACCCCGGAGAGGGGAGUGAAAUAGAACCUGAAACCGUAUGCGUACAAGCAGUGGGAGCCUACUUGUUAGGUGACUGCGUACCUUUUGUAUAAUGGGUCAGCGACUUAUAUUCAGUGGCAAGCUUAACCGUAUAGGGUAGGCGUAGCGAAAGCGAGUCUUAAUAGGGCGUUUAGUCGCUGGGUAUAGACCCGAAACCGGGCGAUCUAUCCAUGAGCAGGUUGAAGGUUAGGUAACACUGACUGGAGGACCGAACCCACUCCCGUUGAAAAGGUAGGGGAUGACUUGUGGAUCGGAGUGAAAGGCUAAUCAAGCUCGGAGAUAGCUGGUUCUCCUCGAAAGCUAUUUAGGUAGCGCCUCAUGUAUCACUCUGGGGGGUAGAGCACUGUUUCGGCUAGGGGGUCAUCCCGACUUACCAAACCGAUGCAAACUCCGAAUACCCAGAAGUGCCGAGCAUGGGAGACACACGGCGGGUGCUAACGUCCGUCGUGAAAAGGGAAACAACCCAGACCGCCAGCUAAGGUCCCAAAGUUGUGGUUAAGUGGUAAACGAUGUGGGAAGGCUUAGACAGCUAGGAGGUUGGCUUAGAAGCAGCCACCCUUUAAAGAAAGCGUAAUAGCUCACUAGUCGAGUCGGCCUGCGCGGAAGAUGUAACGGGGCUCAAACCACACACCGAAGCUGCGGGUGUCACGUAAGUGACGCGGUAGAGGAGCGUUCUGUAAGCCUGUGAAGGUGAGUUGAGAAGCUUGCUGGAGGUAUCAGAAGUGCGAAUGCUGACAUGAGUAACGACAAUGGGUGUGAAAAACACCCACGCCGAAAGACCAAGGGUUCCUGCGCAACGUUAAUCGACGCAGGGUUAGUCGGUUCCUAAGGCGAGGCUGAAAAGCGUAGUCGAUGGGAAACAGGUUAAUAUUCCUGUACUUCUGGUUACUGCGAUGGAGGGACGGAGAAGGCUAGGCCAGCUUGGCGUUGGUUGUCCAAGUUUAAGGUGGUAGGCUGAAAUCUUAGGUAAAUCCGGGGUUUCAAGGCCGAGAGCUGAUGACGAGUCGUCUUUUAGAUGACGAAGUGGUUGAUGCCAUGCUUCCAAGAAAAGCUUCUAAGCUUCAGGUAACCAGGAACCGUACCCCAAACCGACACAGGUGGUCGGGUAGAGAAUACCAAGGCGCUUGAGAGAACUCGGGUGAAGGAACUAGGCAAAAUGGCACCGUAACUUCGGGAGAAGGUGCGCCGGCUAGGGUGAAGGAUUUACUCCGUAAGCUCUGGCUGGUCGAAGAUACCAGGCCGCUGCGACUGUUUAUUAAAAACACAGCACUCUGCAAACACGAAAGUGGACGUAUAGGGUGUGACGCCUGCCCGGUGCCGGAAGGUUAAUUGAUGGGGUUAGCGCAAGCGAAGCUCUUGAUCGAAGCCCCGGUAAACGGCGGCCGUAACUAUAACGGUCCUAAGGUAGCGAAAUUCCUUGUCGGGUAAGUUCCGACCUGCACGAAUGGCGUAACGAUGGCGGCGCUGUCUCCACCCGAGACUCAGUGAAAUUGAAAUCGCUGUGAAGAUGCAGUGUAUCCGCGGCUAGACGGAAAGACCCCGUGAACCUUUACUGUAGCUUUGCACUGGACUUUGAGCCUGCUUGUGUAGGAUAGGUGGGAGGCUUUGAAGCGUGGACGCCAGUUCGCGUGGAGCCAUCCUUGAAAUACCACCCUGGCAUGCUUGAGGUUCUAACUCUGGUCCGUAAUCCGGAUCGAGGACAGUGUAUGGUGGGCAGUUUGACUGGGGCGGUCUCCUCCUAAAGAGUAACGGAGGAGUACGAAGGUGCGCUCAGACCGGUCGGAAAUCGGUCGCAGAGUAUAAAGGCAAAAGCGCGCUUGACUGCGAGACAGACACGUCGAGCAGGUACGAAAGUAGGUCUUAGUGAUCCGGUGGUUCUGUAUGGAAGGGCCAUCGCUCAACGGAUAAAAGGUACUCCGGGGAUAACAGGCUGAUACCGCCCAAGAGUUCAUAUCGACGGCGGUGUUUGGCACCUCGAUGUCGGCUCAUCACAUCCUGGGGCUGAAGCCGGUCCCAAGGGUAUGGCUGUUCGCCAUUUAAAGUGGUACGCGAGCUGGGUUUAGAACGUCGUGAGACAGUUCGGUCCCUAUCUGCCGUGGACGUUUGAGAUUUGAGAGGGGCUGCUCCUAGUACGAGAGGACCGGAGUGGACGAACCUCUGGUGUUCCGGUUGUCACGCCAGUGGCAUUGCCGGGUAGCUAUGUUCGGAAAAGAUAACCGCUGAAAGCAUCUAAGCGGGAAACUUGCCUCAAGAUGAGAUCUCACUGGGAACUUGAUUCCCCUGAAGGGCCGUCGAAGACUACGACGUUGAUAGGCUGGGUGUGUAAGCGUUGUGAGGCGUUGAGCUAACCAGUACUAAUUGCCCGUGAGGCUUGACCAU